UUCCCCAGGUGAGGCUCGAACUCACAACCCCGGCAUCACUCACAAGUACUGCUUAUAAGUACCGUGCGCUAACCAAUUGCGCCACUGGGGA
rnacentral:tRNA from 1 species